rnacentral:rRNA from 1 species
UGGGGAAUCUUGCACAAUGGGGGCAACCCUGAUGCAGCGACGCCGCGUGAGCGAUGAAGCCCUUCGGGGUGUAAAGCUCUUUCGGCAGGGAAAAUUAUGACGGUACCUGCAGAAGCAGCUGCGGCUAACUACGUGCCAGCAGCCGCGGUAAUACGUAGGCAGCAAGCGUUGUUCGGAGUUACUGGGCGUAAAGGGUGCGUAGGCGGCUCGAUAAGUAUGGUGUGAAAUCUCCCGGCUUAACUGGGAGGGUGCGCUAUAGACUGCCGGGCUAGAGUGUGGGAGAGGAAAGUGGAAUUCCUGGUGUAGCGGUGAAAUGCGUAGAUAUCAGGAGGAACACCGGUGGUGUAAACGGCUUUCUGGACCAUAACUGACGCUGAGGCACGAAAGCGUGGGUAGCAAACAGGAUUAGAUACCCUGGUAGUCCACGCCCUAAACGAUGCAUAUUUGGUGUGGGUCAUUCAGUUGAUCCGUGCCGGAGCUAACGCGUUAAAUAUGCCGCCUGGGGAGUACAGUCGCAAGGCUG